rnacentral:rRNA from 1 species
UACGUAGGGUGCAAGCGUUACUCGGAAUUACUGGGCGUAAAGGGCGCGUAGGUGGUUUGUUAAGUCUGCUGUGAAAUCCCCGGGCUCAACCUGGGAAUGGCAGUGGAUACUGGCAAGCUAGAGUGCGGUAGAGGGUAGUGGAAUUCCCGGUGUAGCAGUGAAAUGCGUAGAGAUCGGGAGGAACACCAGUGGCGAAGGCGGCUCCCUGGGCCAGCACUGACACUGAAGCACGAAAGCGUGGGGAGCAAACAGG